rnacentral:lncRNA from 1 species
UCAUAUAUAGAAAAAAGUAGUAAUUUUUUAAAAUUUCAAUCUACUUUAUUAUUUUUUAUUAUAAAAUAUAAAAUAUAUAAAUAAUUAUUAAAUAAUUUAGACUGUUGGUAUUAAAUAUAAAUGUUAAUUUUAUAAUAUUUAGCAUUCACAUAUAAAUUGUACAUAAAAAAAAAAGAUUGAUAGAGUGUAAGUUAAUUUUAUAUUUGAUGAAAAUUAAUUGCGAGAAUCACAAGUAAAGAUUUCUCUUUUCAUUUCACUAACUAUUGGGGGACUACGAUAUUUACUAAAAAUUAUUUCACUAAUUAAUACCAUGCCUACUAAAAAUUUUUUAUGUACUCAUUGCACCAUUUAUUAUUUCUCAAUCCCUUUAGACCCGUAGUCAUAUUUGAAAUAAUUAGUAUGGGUAUGGGGUAAUUUCAUUCGUACCCUCAAAAGAUUAGAAAUAUGAUAGAUAACUUUACAAAAUUAGUAAUAUUAAAGCAAACAAAAGAGAACAAGAUAAGAAAAUAUUUAAUAAAGUUGAAGAACUAUUUCAAAAUAGCUUAUUGUUGAGAGAGCUCCUUAUAUUUUUUAUAUUAGGAAAGAUAGCUGCAUUUAUUUAAAAUUGUUUCGUAAUUUGUCCAUAACAUUUUAUAAUUAUUCUGAAAUUAAUUUUUAUAACUAAUUUUCAAGAUUAAAUUUUAAAAUAACUACCCGCAAUAUCGCAUUGGUCCUUAAACUAGUUUUGAU